rfam:Brassica napus, WGS project CCCW01000000 data, contig: 5349
CGGAAUGAUGGAAAACAGGAGAAGCUGCCCCAGAUAAACCAGAGAAAGAAGAAGCAAACGCUCUCCCUGAACCUGAGCCGUCAGAUA